UCAAGAAACUUCCACAAUGGGCGAAAGCCUGAUGGAGCGACGUCGCGUGAUGGACGAAGUGCUUCGGCACGUAAACAUCUUUUUAUGUGGGAAGAAAUUAUUGACAGUACCACAUGAAUAAGGGGCUCCUAACUCUGUGCCAGCAGGAGCGGUAAUACAGAGGCCCCAAGCGUUAUCCGGAAUCACUGGGCGUAAAGGGUGUCGAGGCGGUUGUAUUAGUCGUUCGUAAAAUCUACGAGCUUAACUUGUAGGCGGCGAACGAAACGGUACGACUUGAGGUUUGGAGAGGUGCGUGGAACUCACGGUGUAGGGGUGAAAUCCGUUGAUAUCGUGGGGAACACCAAAGGCGAAGGCAGCGCACUGGCCAAAAUCUGACGCUCACACACGAAAGCUAGGGUAGCGAAGAGGAUUAGAUACCCACGUAGUCCCUGAGCGGGCUGGCAAGGCGCAU
rnacentral:rRNA from 1 species